rnacentral:rRNA from 1 species
UUCGCAAUGCCCGAAAGGGUGACGAAGCGACGCCGCGUGGGUGAAGAAGGCCUUCGGGUUGUAAAGCCCUGUCAGGAGUUAUGAAAUGUAGGUGCGAUAAUACCGUGCCUAUUUGACAAAGGCUCCAAAGGAAGCCACGGCUAACUCUGUGCCAGCAGCCGCGGUAAUACAGAGGUGGCAAGCGUUGUUCGGAAUUAUUGGGCGUAAAGAGCACGUAGGUGGGUUUGUAAGUCAGAUGUGAAAGCCUUCUGUUCAACGGAAGAAUUGCAUCUGAAACUGCGAGUCUUGAGUGUAGGAGGGGAGAAUGGAACUUCUGGUGGAGCGGUGAAAUGCGUAGAUAUCAGAAGGAACGCCGGCGGCGAAAGCGAUUCUCUGGCCUAUUACUGACACUGAGUGUGCGAAAGCUAGGUGAGCAAACGGGAUUAGAUACCCCGGUAGUCCUAGCCGUAAACGAUGGGCACUAAGUAGAGGGGUUUU